GCUGAAUUAGUUUAGUGGUAAAACAAGAGCAUGGUAAGCUCUCGCCCCGAGUUCGAUUCUCGGAUUCAGCACCA
rnacentral:tRNA from 1 species